rnacentral:rRNA from 1 species
CAGUAGCCGCGGUAAUACGGAGGGCGCGAGCGUUACCCGGAUUUACUGGGCGUAAAGGGCGUGUAGGCGGCCUGGGGCGUCCCAUGUGAAAGGCCACGGCUCAACCGUGGAGGAGCGUGGGAUACGCUCAGGCUAGAGGGUGGGAGAGGGUGGUGGAAUUCCCGGAGUAGCGGUGAAAUGCGCAGAUACCGGGAGGAACGCCGAUGGCGAAGGCAGCCACCUGGUCCACUUCUGACGCUGAGGCGCGAAAGCGUGGGGAGCAAACCGGAUUAGAUACCCCGGUAGUCCCUGUCUCUUAUAC